UCUGAUGAUCUACAGUGAUGACCUAGGGGU
rnacentral:piRNA from 2 species